UACGGGGGGGGUAAGCGUUGUUCGGAAUUACUGGGCGUAAAGGGCUCGUAGGCGGCCAACUAAGUCAGACGUGAAAUCCCUCAGCUUAACUGGGGAACUGCGUCUGAUACUGGAUGGCUUGGAUUCGGGAGAGGGAUGUGGAAUUCCAGGUGUAGCGGUGAAAUGCGUAGAUAUCUGGAGGAACACCGGUGGCGAAGGCGGCAUCCUGGACCGGUAUUGACGCUGAGGCGCGAAAGCUAUGGGAGCAAACGGG
rnacentral:rRNA from 1 species